rnacentral:rRNA from 1 species
AGGACGAACGCUGGCGGCGUGCUUAACACAUGCAAGUCGAGCGAGCCCCACCUUUCGGGGUGGUGUGCUAGCGGCGAACGGGUGAGUAACACGUGGGCAACCUGCCCUCAGCUCUGGGAUAACUCCAAGAAAUUGGGGCUAAUACCGGAUAUGACUGCUGACCGCAUGGUCUGGUGGUGGAAAGAUUUAUCGGCUGGGGGAUGGGCCCGCGGCCUAUCAGCUUGUUGGUGGGGUAGUGGCCUACCAAGGCGACGACGGGUAGCCGGCCUGAGAGGGUGACCGGCCACACUGGGACUGAGACACGGCCCAGACUCCUACGGGAGGCAGCAGUGGGGAAUAUUGCGCAAUGGGCGGAAGCCUGACGCAGCGACGCCGCGUGGGAUGACGGCCUUCGGGUGUAAACCUCUUCAGCAGGACGAAGCGAGAGUGACGGUACCUGCAGAAGAAGCGACCGCAACUACGUGCCAGCAGCCGCGGUAAUCGUGAGCGGCGUGGACG